rnacentral:snoRNA from 1 species
CUGCUAUGAUGACUUCUUAGGACACCUUUGGAUUACUCAUGAAAACAAACUAAUGAAAGAUCUGAGCUAC